rnacentral:rRNA from 1 species
AUUGAACGCUGGCGGCAGGCCUAACACAUGCAAGUCGAGCGAGCGGCGGACGGGUGAGUAAUGUAUGGGGACUGCCCGAUAGAGGGGGAUAACUACUGGAAACGGUAGCUAAUACCGCAUACUAUCGGAUAACCAAUAUGGGCUUAGGUAGUUGGUGAGGUGAAGGCUCACCAGGCCGACGAUCUCUAGCUGGUCUGAGAGGAUGACCAGCCACACUGGUAUGAGGACGCGGCCCAGACUCCUACGGAGGCAGCAGUGGGGAAUGUUGCGCAAUGGGGGCAACCCUAGCGCAGCCGUGCCGCGUAAAUGGAGAGGGCGGUCGGGUUUUAAAGUUCUUUCGGUAGCGUGGCGUUAACUACAGAAGAAGCACCGGCUAACUCCGUGCCAGCAGCCGCGGUAAUUC